rnacentral:rRNA from 1 species
AUGAUGCUGACGAGGAGGGACAUUACCGAGUUUACAACUCCCAAACCCCUGUGAACAUACCAAUUGUUGCCUCGGCGGAUCAGCCCGCUCCCGGUAAAACGGGACGGCCCGCCAGAGGACCCCUAAACUCUGUUUCUAUAUGUAACUUCUGAGUAAAACCAUAAAUAAAUCAAAACUUUCAACAACGGAUCUCUUGGUUCUGGCAUCGAUGAAGAACGCAGCAAAAUGCGAUAAGUAAUGUGAAUUGCAGAAUUCAGUGAAUCAUCGAAUCUUUGAACGCACAUUGCGCCCGCCAGUAUUCUGGCGGGCAUGCCUGUUCGAGCGUCAUUUCAACCCUCAAGCCCCCGGGUUUGGUGUUGGGGAUCGGCGAGCCCUUGCGGCAAGCCGGCCCCGAAAUCUAGUGGCGGUCUCGCUGCAGCUUCCAUUGCGUAGUAGUAAAACCCUCGCAACUGGUACGCGGCGCGGCCAAGCCGUUAAACCCCCAACUUCUGAAUGUUGACCUCGGAUCAGGUAGGAAUACCCCGCUGAACUUAAGCAUAUAAUAAAACCGAGAGACA